rnacentral:piRNA from 1 species
UUGCAAUUUUCAAAUUCUUGU